AGUCGAGCGGUAGCACAGAGAGCUUGCUCCUCGGGUGACGAGCGGCGGACGGGUGAGUAAUGUCUGGGAAACUGCCUGAUGGAGGGGGAUAACUACUGGAAACGGUAGCUAAUACCGCAUAAUGUCGCAAGACCAAAGUGGGGGACCUUCGGGCCUCAUGCCAUCAGAUGUGCCCAGAUGGGAUUAGCUAGUAGGUGGGGUAACGGCUCACCUAGGCGACGAUCCCUAGCUGGUCUGAGAGGAUGACCAGCCACACUGGAACUGAGACACGGUCCAGACUCCUACGGGAGGCAGCAGUGGGGAAUAUUGCACAAUGGGCGCAAGCCUGAUGCAGCCAUGCCGCGUGUGUGAAGAAGGCCUUCGGGUUGUAAAGCACUUUCAGCGGGGAGGAAGGCGGUGAGGUUAAUAACCUCAUCGAUUGACGUUACCCGCAGAAGAAGCACCGGCUAACUCCGUGCCAGCAGCCGCGGUAAUACGGAGGGUGCAAGCGUUAAUCGGAAUUACUGGGCGUAAAGCGCACGCAGGCGGUCUGUCAAGUCGGAUGUGAAAUCCCCGGGCUCAACCUGGGAACUGCAUUCGAAACUGGCAGGCUAGAGUCUUUGUAGAGGGGGGUAGAAUUCCAGGUGUAGCGGUGAAAUGCGUAGAGAUCUGGAGGAAUACCGGUGGCGAAGGCGGCCCCCUGGACAAAGACUGACGCUCAGGUGCGAAAGCGUGGGGAGCAAACAGGAUUAGA
rnacentral:rRNA from 1 species